CCUACGGGUGACAGCAGUGAGGAAUAUUGGUCAAUGGGCGCGAGCCUGAACCAGCCAAGUAGCGUGAAGGAUGACUGCCCUAUGGGUUGUAAACUUCUUUUAUAAAGGAAUAAAGUGCGGCAUGUAUGCUUGUUUGCAUGUACUUUAUGAAUAAGGAUCGGCUAACUCCGUGCCAGCAGCCGCGGUAAUACGGAGGAUCCGAGCGUUAUCCGGAUUUAUUGGGUUUAAAGGGAGCGUAGGUGGGUUGUUAAGUCAGUUGUGAAAGUUUGCGGCUCAACCGUAAAAUUGCAAUUGAUACUGGCAGUCUUGAGUACAGUAGAGGUAGGCGGAAUUCGUGGUGUAGCGGUGAAAUGCUUAGAUAUCACGAAGAACUCCGAUUGCGAAGGCAGCUUACUGGACUGCAACUGACACUGAUGCUCGAAAGUGUGGGUAUCAAACAGGAUUAGAUACCCUGGUAGUC
rnacentral:rRNA from 1 species